GGAGUUCCGGGUGGGCGUGGGCUUGGCGGGCCCUGCACUCGGAGCAGCCGGCUGGCCCCGCCGCGGCCGAGCAAUGAGGAGUACACCCUCCGGGCCAGCGACUGUGGAGGGUGUACUGGGUACCCCAGCAGUGACAGCCCACCGGCGCUGCGUUCGAUUUCUCGCUGGGCCUUAGCUGCCUUCCCUCAGGGCAGGGCUCGGGACCUGCAGCCCGCCAUGCCUGAGCCUCCCACCCCCUCCGUUGGCUCCUGUGCUGCCCGAGCCUCCCGGAUGAGCGCCGCCCCCUGCUCCAGGGCGCCCAGUCCCAUCGACCACCCAAGGGCUGAGGAGUGCGGGCGCGCGGCGCGGGACUGGCAGGCAGCUCCACCUGCAGCCCCGGUGAGGGAUCCACUGGGUGAAGCCAGCUGGGCUCCUGAGUCUGGUGAGGACAUGGAGAACCUUUAUGUCCAGCUCAAGUUGCAGUCCGUAGGCACUUGCUUUAACCGUGAAGAAUUACCUUCAGUACUUCAGUGGCCUCAGGGUGAGGAAUUGGGAGCCACCAGUGUGACAAAUAAACCUGGACUCUCAGCAAUGAGGAAAGAAACAGACCAACAAGUUGGGGAAAGAAAGCUCACAUACUGCGGUGACCAGGUAACUCUGUUCACAGACCAAGCCCUCAGUCAAAUACUAUCUUCUGAGGAGGGAAGAAUCAAGGUUAUGUAGACCCAUACAGAAUUGCCACUGCUAACACACUUUCAUACUGCAUGACUUGGAUACACUCCCUAUUGCUAACAAGACCACAGUGGAAUUAAAAUUGAAAAUGAACUCCCAAAGGAAGCCUCAAAACUAUGCAAAUACAUGAAAAUUAAAUAAUCUGCUUUUGAAUGAUUCUUGGGUUAACAAUGAAAUCAAGAUGGAAAUUUUAAAAACUUUUGAAAUGAAUGAAAAUAGUGACAAAACAUAUUAAACCUCUGGGAUACAGCAAAAGUGGUGGUAAGAGGAAAGUUCAUAGAGUUAAAUGCCUACAUCAAAACAUCUAAAAGAGUGCAAACAGACAGCCUAAAUUCACACCUCAAGGAACUGAAGAAAUAAGAACACACUAAAGCCAAAGCAGGCAGAAGAAUAGAAAUAACAAAAAUCAGAACAGAAUUAAAUUAAAUUGAAACAAAAAAGUGUAAAAGAUAAAUGAAACAAAAAGCUGGUUCUUUGAAAAGAUAAGCAAAAUUUAUAGACUAUUAAUGAGAUUUACCAAGAAAAAGAGAAAAAUCAAAUAAGCUCUAUUAGAAAUGAAAUUGGGACCCCCACAUUGACCAGAAUCCGUGGACGUGGUGAACCAGGUUAUCAAGUACAAGCCUGCAGUUGCCUGGCAGACUGGAAAGCCUCUCUCCAUAGAGGAGAUAGAGGUGGCACCCCCAAAGGCUAAUGAAGUUCGAAUCACAAUCAUUGCCACUGUGGUUUGCCACACCGACACCUAUACCCUGAGUGGAGCUGAUCCUAAGGGUUGUUUUCCAGUGAUCUUGGGACAUGAAGUUGCUUGGAAUUGUGGAAAGCGUUGGCGAGGAAGUUACUAAGCUGAAGCUGAGCUUCUUCCAUGCUCCACUAAACCAUUUCUUGCAUCACAGUGGAGAGUCGAAGAAUUCCAUCUCUUGGAAUCACUUUCAAGCAGAUGUCUAGCUUGGAUUCAGCCAAUGGGAUUCAAUAAAGAGAGAUUUAAAAGUCAGAAGAAAACAAGAAUUCCAGUACAGCUGUAGCAAGAUGCGCAGGCAUUUGGCAGACAUGACGUUGGCAGCAGCAUCCAAGUGAGUUCCUGUGAAUCACCCGCUUUGAGAAUUCAAGCAACUAGUGCCAUUGCAGGUGGCUUUCUCACAUUCUUGAAUUUUUAGAUCUCUGAGGCUAGUUAACAAUCUCUUUGACAUAUACAAAUGCAACUUUACAAGGGAGAAAAAAGCAUCCAAUUCUCUGCAUUGAUUUUUUUUCCUACUCAAAAUAAAUUCUUAGAAUGCUUUAAAAAAAAAAAAAAAAAA
rnacentral:lncRNA from 1 species